rnacentral:rRNA from 1 species
UACGUACCGUACGAACGUUAUUCGGAAUUACUGGGCUUAAAGGGUUUGUAGGCGGCUUUGUAAGUGGGGUGUGAAAUCCCUCGGCUCAACCGAGGAACGGCGCUCCAAACUGCAAGGCUUGAGGGAGACAGGGGUAAGCGGAACUGAUGGUGGAGCGGUGAAAUGCGUUGAUAUCAUCAGGAACACCGGUGGCGAAAGCGGCUUACUGGGUCUCUUCUGACGCUGAGGAACGAAAGCUAGGGUAGCGAAC